GCAGGCUACAGGGAGGUUCUGAAACCCUCCAGUGGGAACCAGGAAUUUCUGGUCAAAGACUGUUCCGCGCUUUCAGGGUCAGUUCUCGCUGCAUCCCUGUUCACCUUCUUCUCUAUCGGUCUCCAGGCACUUAGGGCAGCCUCACUCGCUAGCCCGCUGGGCGCCGCCACGGGCCUGGGGCCCCAGGGCGGGGACAGGGAGAAUACAGCCGAUUGUUGAAGAGAGCUUUAUUCCUGCGGCAACCCGCCACCAUCCCGGCUACUGCUGCUGGCCCAUGACAGCGCUGAGGGCUUCUGACAGGCUACCACUGCGACCUCGCGGACCAUGUCUCCCCUAUCCUUUGGGCGAAACGCUGGACAAGCCCCGCCGAUCGCUCUCCACUAGCCAGAUCUGGCCAACUUUAGUGCCUGGGCCCCCGUAAAGAAGAUCAGAGCAAGAACCUCUGCAUUUGUUGGUAGCUGCCAAAGAGUAAGAACCUCUGUGGGGUACUGCAUUGCUGCUGCUGCCACAAACCCAAGGAGAAAGACCCAGAAAGACCAAGGAGAAAGGUCUAAUUUCUGAUGAUCCCUUCCUCACUGAAGAUCCCAGCUUUCUUUGGUUGCUGGACAGCCUAACACUUGUUCCUUGCCCUCUGCCUCUUCUCUCUCCAGAAUCAACUCUCAUUCUCCCUGCAGGGGCAAUAGAGCCCACAGUUGCUAGGGCCGGCUUACCUGAGCAUGCCCCGGUGCUCCUCAUGCCACACCUGGAUACGUUCCUCCCACUGGUCCUUGUUAAGUUUGUGCUGUUCCAGGACCCUGGAAAGACAAUGCAUGCUGUGAACACACUCACAAGAAGGAACAAAAGCAAACGGGAAGAACUAUGGGCCCCACUUCCCUUUCCCACCAGGCCUUGUAACUCCUCAAGCUAUGGCUUCCCAUUGUUGCCUGUUAUUUAUCGCUGGUGCCAAGGAGGGUGCUUCCUCUCCAGUCAGCUUCCUCUCUGGUCAUCAGCCAGACAACUGCUGGAUUCCAGGAUGGCCCCAGAGCUUCUGUCAAUUCCUCCCAAGGAGUCCAGCUCCUUCCUCCUAGGCCCCUGAUCUCCCUGAAUGAUGGAUCUCAAAGGUCAGACAGAAUGGACUUCCCUCCUUAUGCCUCAUCAACUUAGAGAGAGGGAAGAAGGGAAGAGAUCAAAUGCCCCAGUGGCCUGUGAACACGCAUCUCUGAGGAUUUCCAUCCAGACCGGCCUUGGUCCCGAGAGUGCCAGAUGCUCAAUUCUGUGCCAGAGUUGAAAUUUUUUUUUUCCUGUAGCUUUCACCUAUGGGAUCCCAGCUCUGCUCCUUCUGACCUCACAGAACAUGACUGCCCCCUCCUUCCUACAACAGCCCCUCAGUGAUCUCAAGACAGAGAAUACAUCUUCUCUUGAGUCUUCUCCAAGCUAAACAGGCUCGUUCACCCCAAACAGAGUAGCACAGUAGGGAAAAGUAUAGUUUUACAGUCAGAGCUAUAUUUGAAACUCUGUAUCACAAUUUACUAACUACAUAACCUAGAGUGUGUUUUUUCACCUCUCAUAGGCAGGGUCACUACAAGGAUUCAAACAAGGUUAGUCCAUAGUAGGUGCUCACUAAAUCAUAUUUCUCAAAACAACACUUAUCUUCCUGGUGGGAAAUCAUGAAUUUCCGGGUUUCCUCCCUUUCCUCUCCCCAACCAGUAUGAAAGAUUCAAGUCUCUCAAGGGCUUUUUUGGGGAAGCAGUAGCUUUCAGAACUAGCACAUCAAUCUGGCCAGGGCUCCCUACCAACUGGGCUUCCCUCAGAACCACACCCACAGUACGCAAACCAAACCAACACUAACAAAGAACUAUCCGGCCCUGUGGCUUUUCAAAGUUAACAAACCCCUUUGUUCAAGUAUUUUUCUGCUCUAGGCUCUAAAUUAUGCCUUCUUCACCCUCCACAGCAACGCCCUCCAAUGCAAAUGGACAAAGCCCCCAGUGUUGAAGGCAGGGAACAGUGUCAUUUGUUUGAGAGAGGUGGGAUAUAGAACCAGGGCUCUGGGAAGGCAUCUGGGUAGAGGCCAAGGGAGUCUCUGGUACCCAGUUGGACUAUAAAAUCCACAUUGGCUGAUACUCUCCUCUCUACAGAUGCUGCCCAGAAUGAUACUGCUGUCUGAAGCAAAGGGCCCAACAGCCUACCUAUGGUAUGGACACCUUCUCCCUUUUGUCCCAGAGACAGUAGAAGCCUAUCUAGGAAGAGCUGUCCCCUCACCAGGUAUCCUUCCCCUCCCCACCCCCUGGCAUAUGCCAAUUACAGAUCACACUCAAGUGAAGCAUUUCCCUCCUUUUUACAGAAAGGGGUCAUCUGAAAUCCAAAUAGUGGGGUUAGAAAUGGGAAAGAAAAGAUAUGGAAUACAGAAAUAAAUGCCACAGAUAAAUUUCUGAGAGAUAACCAGAUUUGAGAUAUCAGUUAGACAGUGUACAGAUGGGGAAACUGAGGCCCAAAGAGGGGAAAGUUUUGUGUAAGGUAUCAGGAGAGUUAGUGGUAGAGCCAGGCCUAAGGCUCCAAAUUUCCAACUUUCUAUCCAGUGCCCUUUCGACUUCACCAGGCUGUCCCUUGAAAAGCUUUCCAGUAUAAAACCUGCAUGCAAAGGGAGAAUGCAAAACCUUAAUGUAAUCAAAAUGCAUUCAGUCAUUCCAGACUAGCAUUGUAAUCACUUGUGAACUAUGUGAAUGU